AUAAUCCUAUAAAAUUAUUGAAUAAAAUAAGUGAAAAUAAAGAAAUAAAAAUAAAUGUUGAACCGUUAUGGCCGGAAGGUCCUAAUAAUGUUUUAAACUCUUUAUGAAGAGUUAAAAGAAUUGAAUUUCAAAAAAUAUUAUAUCGAGAAGGCAUAAGUCAAUAAAUAGAAGGAAUUAUUAAAAUUCCUAAAAAUGUUCUAAUUCAA